rnacentral:pre_miRNA from 1 species
CUCAGGGAGGAGGGGUCCCUCAGCCCAGAUUGUGAGAGGGUGCAGGCCAGGCCGAGGGACCCCAUCGGUGCAGG